rnacentral:rRNA from 1 species
GCUGGCGGCAGGCCUAACACAAGCACGUCGAGCGCAUCCUUCGGGGUGAGCGGCGGACGGGUGAGUAUCGCGUGGGAACGUGCCCUUCUCUACGGAAUAGUCUCGGGAAACUGGGGGUAAUACCGUAUACGCCCUUUUGGGGAAAGAUUUAUCGGAGAAGGAUCGGCCCGCGUUGGAUUAGGUAGUUGGUGGGGUAAUGGCUCACCAAGCCGACGAUCCAUAGCUGGUUUGAGAGGAUGAUCAGCCACACUGGGACUGAGACACGGCCCAGACUCCUACGGGAGGCAGCAGUGGGGAAUCUUAGACAAUGGGGGCAACCCUGAUCUAGCCAUGCCGCGUGAGUGAUGAAGGCCCUAGGGUUGUAAAGCUCUUUCAGCUGUGAAGAUAAUGACGGUAGCAGCAGAAGAAGUCCCGGCUAACUCCGUGCCAGCAGCCGCGGUAAUACGGAGGGGACUAGCGUUGUUCGGAAUUACUGGGCGUAAAGCGCACGUAGGCGGACCAGCAAGUUAGGGGUGAAAUCCCGGGGCUCAACCCCGGAACUGCCUUUAAAACUGUUGGUCUUCGAUUCGAGAGAGGUGAGUGGAAUCC